UACAGAGGUCCCAAGCGUUGUUCGGAUUCAUUGGGCGUAAAGGGUGCGUAGGUGGCGCUGUAAGUCGGGUGUGAAAUUUCGGAGCUUAACUCCGAAACUGCAUUCGAUACUGCGGUGCUUGAGGACUGGAGAGGAGACUGGAAUUCAUGGUGUAGCAGUGAAAUGCGUAGAGAUCAUGAGGAAGACCAGUGGCGAAGGCGGGUCUCUGGGCAACAACUGACGCUGAGGAGCGAAAGCGUGGGGAGCGAACAGG
rnacentral:rRNA from 1 species